GGCUAGUAUUACAACAGAAAGCUGCAUAAUGGCGUUAAGACGGUUUAUGGCCCGAAGAGGAGUCCCUUCUACGAUAAUUUCCGAUAACGCAAAAACUUUUAGGCGGGCUGCCUUAGAUUUAGAAAAGAUCAAGGAUCUGUUUGGUGAAGAAGAAGCACAAGGUUUCUUAUCCAAAAACAGAAUUCAAUAGGACUUUAUUGUGGAGAGAGCUCCCUGGUGGGGUGGCUUUUGGGAGCGUCUCAUCAGAUCAGUGAAAAACACCCUAAAGGUCACUAUCGGAAAAGCCAAACUGAAUUUCGAACAACUUCGAACCAUCCUAACAGAAGCCGAAGCCGUUGCCAACGAUAGACCCUUGACGUACGUGUCCAGUGACCCAUUAGAAUUGUCACCUCUUACACCAACAAAGUUUUUAUUGGGAUUCUCGUCAUCUAUUCCCGAUUUUCAAACAGCUGCAGAUGAAGAUGCAAAGCUAAGGGAGCUAUGGAAACAACGUAUGAAGUUCAAUGCGAAGCUUACAAAACGAUGGAAAAUAGAGUACCUUCAAACUCUUCGAUCUUUUCAUCACAAUAAAUUUAAAGAAUCAAUCCAACUAAAGGAAGGAGAUGUCGUUCUUCUUUAUGAUCAAGCAACUCCUCGUAUACACUGGAAGUUGGUAAUUAUAACUAAAGCCUACAUCGGAAGAGACCAAAAGGUACGCUCCUGUGAAAUUCGAUGCCCAAAUGGGAAGCUAUUCAGAAGACCAGUCCAGCUCCUAUAUCCACUGGAGCUUUCAAGUAUCGCCCCGCCGGAAGAUGUUGAAAAAUAACCAAUCUACCAACACUAUUUUCAUUGUUCUUUGGUUUCUAUGUUUUGUAAUAGUAUUAGUUUUUAAAUCAUCAUCUAUGUAUAUUAAAUCAUCAUUAAUGUAUUAAUACAUAUUAAGUAUGUAUCAUAUUAUUUGCCUGCCAUUCUGGCAGUUGCAAUCUCGAUCUCAAAAAGAAAAGUCAUUUAAUUAAAAAGACAUUCGAUUAUUUUAAAAGAUUUGCGUUUUUAAUUUCAAUAUUCAAUUUGCGUUGUUUUUUAAUAGACACAACAACCAAAGUUAACUUUGUUUAAUAAAAGAACAGACCAAUGGUGGUUAAUUUUUGGUUACUUUCUUGGUUAAUUAAAAUGUUGAUUUUGUUCUAACAAACGUACAGCUGCGGUCAAAAGUUUUAAUCUAAUAUAAUAGACCAAGUCCGUAGUAGAACAAGUUUCUCCAAACCCUUAUACUGGACCCUGGAAUAUUCUCUGGACUGAUGAGAGCAAAUUGAUUCUUAUGGUGGCAAAGGGUCUCGGUAGUACUACUGAACACGAAAUAUAACCCUAGGUAUAGCAGAAAAACCAUUAAAAACGGAGGAUGGAGUACAAUGGUUUGGGGAAACUUGUUCUACUACGGAAUUUACUAAAAAAAAGAAAAUCACUGCUAUUAUUUUGACCGCUUAAUUUUGUUUUUGGAUUAUUGCUUAGCUAUUAGCAAUAUAUUAAAUUUCAUUCAUACUAAAAAUUAAUCUAGAAUGUAUCUGAAAUAGUUUUACUAAAAAAAAAUCCAACAUCGAAACUCUUUUUAUGUUUUAUGUUUUACUUAAAAUAUUUUUCGAUGCACUGCUAUUUUUUUGACCGCCACUGUAGGUACUAUAUUUACAUGUACAGUACAUGCAUAUAAAAUAAUUUUUUUACAAGAAAAAUGCGCACAAGAGACUAAAAAACUUUGUUUAUUUUGAAUUUUUUUUGGUUCAUGCCACCACCAACACACAAAAAAAAAAACAUUACAUGAUAGAAACAGUCUGGUUGAACUUUUGCUUGCUUUCUUACGUUUGUCAAAAAAAGCGUACGUAGAAAAAGCGUCAUUGUGUGAGGUUACACAGAUUUCGUAUGGUUGAACUUUUGGCAGUUGUCAAAAUCGACGGCAAAGCGUGAUUGUGUAUCUGCUUUAACAGCGCCGAAUAAAAAAGGAAGAAGUGAUAUUAAUGUCCGAAUUUGUUGGUCAUUAACAUAAAGUAGCGCCUAGCUUUCUGAAACAAUUUGGAAUAGUAUUUCCUGUUCUUGUUUUUGAGACAGAACAUGUUAGAAUACAUUCGUGAGAAUUUUCAUACGUGUUUUUUGAUGUUUUUUUUUUCAGAUGUUUUUCACGGAACUGUUCUGCCUGUUCUGAUCUAUUUCCUCGUUGAGCACUACUUAAAUUAUACAAAUUACAUUUCAGUUAUAUUUAUUUCACAUCUUCAAGAAAAUUCAAAUCAUGCACAAACAUAGUAUUUUCAGAUAUAAACUGAGGCUCUCCAUCCUGCAGAAUUUUCACAAAUAUCUUUAAGGAAUGUUCCAAGAAUGAUGGAAAAGAAGCAGUUUGCACAAUCACUUCAAAAUGUUCACUUAAUUCUUGAGCAGCUUUUAGUUUGAUUUCAUCCUUUGCAGAGGAAUCACCUAGCAUUGUAACAUAGCUUCUGAAGGUAUUCACCUCGGUUGGAUCCAGCUCAUGUGUUCCCAUUUUCUAAAUUAAUUCAACUGACUUGUGUGUUUAACAUUUAUAAAGUAAUAAAUAUAAUUAAGUAUAGUAUCAAGCUGCAGCUAAUUUGUUUACAAAGUUUAAAAUUAAUAAAUAUUAAACAAACGUCGGUGCCAAAACGUUAACGGGAAUACAAAUUAACUGGAAUAGUCAGGGUUUACAUUCGACGAUUUUUCCAAUGCCCGUUUUUAUUCCUUGUAAUCCUAAUCAUCGACAAACUAUACCAAGACUGGAAACUGAGCUGUCAACCCUUCCAGCAAGAAAACGGAGUUCAGAAAAGACAGUCCGACCUCCGACUGAGAAAAACGGGGUUGCACUCACACACUUGCAACUCUUUGUGUAUGAACACAAAGUCGAAGGAGAAUCGUGGUGAAAAAGUGAGAAAAGGAAAACUAACGUAGGAAAGACAAAGACAACAAGACAAGGUAUAAUGCGUCAUUUUGUUAUUAUUUGUCGUUUGUUGCAGUAUCUCGUCGUAGGUCGGGUCGUGCCUCGUUCUUAAACUAAAUACAUUGUUUUAUUAAUAUGGACAAUUUUAUUUCAAAAAAAGGAGUUCAAUAAUGAGACGCUAGCUGAGAAUCACCCUAACCCAAACUUCCCACAACGCACAACAGCUACAACAUUCUUCAAUGAUCCAAAUUCUCCAGCAGCUGUAUCAACGAAUACAAUAAAAAAAAAAUUUUUGUUAAAAAAAAAAACAAUAAAAAAAUUUAAGAAAAAGAAAAUAAUUCGAGUUUUGUUUUGUUUGCAAAUGCUUCCAAAUGUCAAGCGCCAUUUUUUUUCCAUUCCAAUGCCGGAGGUCAUUCAUUCCGACUUCGGCUCCGUUUUCUCGGAAUGGAGGUUUUCACCUCACCAAAACAUAUGCAAUCGACUUCGCGGUGAUUAUAAUUUCCAUACUAAAUUGAGC